CGCGGAUGAUCAGCACAUCAGAGGAGAUUGCACAGGUUGGAACAAUAUCGGCUAAUGGAGAGCGGGAAAUUGGGGAAUUGAUCGCAAAGGCCAUGGAAAAAGUUGGCAAGGAGGGUGUUAUCACAAUCUCCGGUGGGAAAGACAUUAUACAAUGAACUAGAGGUUAUUGUGGGGAUGAAGCUGGAUAGAGGUUACAUGUCCCCUUAUUUCAUCACCAAUCAGAAGAACCAGAAAUAUGUAAGCAUCUUUAUGGAUGGUUUGGCUGGUUUAUCUAUGUUAAUGCAGCAACACUCUCAA